ensembl:lncRNA
UGGAGGAAGUGGUACUGAAGGUAAGGUAUGGAAGGAGGAUGGAGGAAGUGGUACUGAAGGUAAUGUAUGGAAGGAGGAUGGAGGAAGUGGUACUGAAGGUAAUGUAUGGAAGGAGGAGGGAGGAGGAUGGAGGAAGUGGUACUGAAGGUAAUGUAUGGAAGGAGGAGGAUGGAGGAAGUGGUACUGAAGGUAAUGUAUGGAAGGAGGAGGAUGGAGGAAGUGGUACUGAAGGUAAUGUAUGGAAGGAGGAGGAUGGAGGAAGUGGUACUGAAGGUAAUGUAUGGAAGGAGGAGGGGGGAGGAUGGAGGAAGUGGUACUGAAGGUAAGGCAUGGAAGGAGGAGGGGGAGGAUGGAGGAAGUGGUACUGAAGGUAAUGUAUGGAGGAUGGGAGUGAGCGAGUUGUUAUGGGAUACGGGGGAUGUUUAAAUCAAAGGUUUACACUACAGCUUCGCUCCAACAUCAAAGCUUGCC